rnacentral:rRNA from 1 species
UACGGAGGGUGCGAGCGUUGUCCGGAUUUAUUGGGCGUAAAGAGCUCGUAGGCGGCUCAUUGCGUCAACCGUGAAAACCAGCAGCUCAACUGUUGGCUUGCGGUUGAUACGGGUGGGCUGGAGUUCGGUAGGGGAGACUGGAAUUCCUGGUGUAGCGGUGAAAUGCGCAGAUAUCAGGAGGAACACCGGUGGCGAAGGCGGGUCUCUGGGCCGAUACUGACGCUGAGGAGCGAAAGCGUGGGGAGCGAACAGG